rnacentral:rRNA from 1 species
CACGAACCGUACGAACGUUAUUCGGAAUUACUGGGCUUAAAGGGUUUGUAGGCGGCCAUGUAAGUCGGGUGUGGAGUCCCUCGGCUCAACCGAGGAAUGGCGCCCGAUACUGCAUGGCUUGAGGGAGACAGGGGUAAGCGGAACUGAUGGUGGAGCGGUGAAAUGCGUUGAUAUCAUCAGGAACACCGGUGGCGAAAGCGGCUUACUGGGUCUCAUCUGACGCUGAGGAACGAAAGCUAGGGGAGCGAACGGG